GGAGCCGUGUCUCUGAAAAUGUUUCAACCGAGCAGACCACCCCUAUCACCAGCAUCCCUAGGAGACCUUGUGUAAAGCCAGAUAUUAUCUAAGGACAGUGUAGGGCACCGACGUCAAGCGGGAGCAACCCGGGCUCCGGUGCCAGCUGUGGGACUUGGAGGAGCGUCACCCAAUCUCGCUUAGACCUGUUUCUUCAUAUAGUAAAGGAUUGGGCAAGAGGAACUCUUUAAGAUCCUUUCUGACUCUAAAAUUCGAAGGCUCUGUGAUUGAACAAACGUUUUAUUUAUAGACUACAGAGAGCUGAACCCUGUGUUGGUUGCUAUGGGGAAGGGAGGGCCAGUUAAGAAUACAAAAGCAGGCGCUUCUGUCCAGGUGGAGAGCUGGAUCCCUCAUCUUCUAUUUCUGUUCUCCAGCAACAGAAAAGAAGGGAGAAAAGUUUUCCAGACAGUAUAAAAGGAGGAAUUGAUAGGAGUCGAUGGUGAAUUGGGAGGGUGAAAACGAAGGAGGAGAAUUUAACCAAAAGAGUUCAAAUGUUUUAACCUGCUAAAGAAAAUACUGCUUUAUACAGAUUUCUCCAAAUGUGAGAAUUUAAUGCCCAAAGAAGAACCAAUAAGGAGAUGUAGAAGGCAGCGCUGCUCAGGAAACAGGAUAGUAAUCUCGCCAAUAACGAAGCAGACUGAAUUGGAAGAUGUCUAGAUCUAUAUAGAAACAGGCUCGGGGACACCUGGGUGGCUCCGUCAGAUGAGAGAAUAAUGCUCCUUUUGGAGAGAGACUGCCAAUUUGAGUGAAAAAUCAAAUGUGUAACACAAACUGCAAUCUCAAAGGCCUCUAAAGACCCCACCCUGCUCUCAAGGCCAAGCUCCUCGGACCUGGAGCUGCCCAGGGACCCGUCCAAAAUGCAGAUUUCUAAGGACCCUCACAAGGAACUGCCACACACAGACACACCUCUGAAUCUCUUAUCAAAACUCACGACUACACCGUGGAAAGAAGAAGAAAACCGUGUGAAAACCAGAUUGCAUUGGACUUUAGUUGACAGUAAAGCACUCUUCAUGUUCAAUCUUCAGGCAAAAAUGAUGGGGGAGAUGGACCUGUUUGGGUUUUUUUUGUUUGUUUUUGGGAACAUACUUGAAUAAUUAUUACAAAUAUACAGUAAAAUUUCUAGCAACAACACGA